AAUUUCGUGUUCAUGCCGGCUGUACCACAGAACUAUUAGCUAUAAUCAUCUGUAAAUUCAAAAGAAUCUACGUUUCUGAAUUCGAGCGAACAUCAGAGGGGAGAAAAUAAGAUGGAAGACGAAGCAGAAAUAUACGACGGGAUCAGAGCUCAGUUCCCUCUAACUUUUGGUAAGCAGCAGAAAUCCCAAACCUCGCUUGAAGCCAUUCACAACGCCACUCGCCGUUCCACCGCCGCCACCGCUGCUGCCGCUUCAUCUCCCUCCGCCUCCAAGGAUAGUCACAAUAAAACCAAUGAAGCACUCCCUUCUGUUUCCUCCUUUUCCAAAGCUUGGCUCGAUUCCCUUCGCAAUUCCAAAUCUCCUAACCCUAACCCUAAUGGCUCCGAAAUUGGCCCGCCUCAUCCGCCUCCUGGUCCAGUCCCUGAUGAGGAUGAGGAUGAUGACGUCAUGGUAGGACCUCCUCCGCCUCCUCCUGGUUUAGGUGAGGAUGACGAUAACGAUGCCAUGAUCGGGCCGCCACGUCCGCCGGUUGGGCCGAGUUCGGACUCAGACGGGGAGGAAGGGGAGGAGAACCGUUAUCGAAUUCCAAUGAGCAAUGAGAUUAAUCUCAAAGGACAUACUAAGAUUGUUUCAGCUCUUGCAAUUGAUCACUCUGGCUCUAGGGUUCUCUCGGGUAGUUAUGACUAUACAGUUCGAAUGUUUGAUUUCCAAGGAAUGAAUUCUCGUUUACAGUCAUUUAGACAGCUUGAACCAUUUGAAGGCCACCAAGUUCGUAAUUUAAGUUGGAGUCCCACAUCCGACCGGUUUUUAUGUGUCACUGGGUCUGCUCAAGCUAAGAUAUAUGACCGAGAUGGACUUACUUUAGGUGAGUUUAUAAAAGGGGAUAUGUAUAUUCGGGAUUUAAAGAAUACUAAGGGACAUAUAACGGGGUUGACUUGGGGAGAGUGGCAUCCGAAAACCAAAGAGACAAUUUUGACAUCAUCAGAAGAUGGAUCUCUUCGUAUAUGGGAUGUGAAUGACUUCAAAAGUCAAAAGCAGGUUAUCAAACCAAAACUUGCAAGGCCUGGAAGAAUUCCAGUUACAACAUGUGCAUGGGAUCGUGAAGGAAAAUGUAUUGCUGGUGGAAUUGGUGAUGGUUCUAUACAGAUAUGGACCCUUAAGCCUGGAUGGGGAAGCAGACCAGAUAUAUACAUCGAAAAAAGUCAUUCUGAUGAUAUCACGGGGCUUAAGUUUUCUAGUGAUGGGAAAACUUUGUUGUCCAGAAGCUUUGAUUGUUCGCUCAAGGUAUGGGAUUUACGCCAAAUUAAAGCUCCACUUAAGGUGUUUGAUGAUCUUCCAAAUAACUAUGCCCAAACAAAUAUUGCAUUUAGUCCUGAUGAGCAGCUCUUUCUAACUGGAACAUCCAUUGAGAAGGAAAGUACCACUGGAGGCUUGUUGUGCUUUUAUGAUUUUUCAAAACUUGAACUUGUUCAAAGAGUUGGGAUAUCUCCAUCUUGCAGUGUUGUGCAGUGUGCUUGGCACCCAAGAUUAAAUCAGAUAUUUGCAACAUCAGGAGACAAAAGCCAAGGAGGGACUCAUGUACUAUAUGAUCCAACACUUAGUGAGAGAGGAGCUCUUGUUUGUGUUGCACGUGCACCUAGGAAGAAAUCUGUUGAUGAUUUUGAGGCACCACUUGUUAUUCACAAUCCUCAUGCACUACCAUUAUUUAGAGACCAACCAAGCCGUAAGCGUCAACGGGAGAAGAUUCUGAAGGAUCCUAUCAAGUCACAUAAACCUGAACUUCCAAUAAACGGACCAGGACAUGGUGGUAGGGUUGGUACAACCAAGGGAAGCUUGUUGACUCAGUACCUUCUUAAGCAAGGUGGAAUGAUCAAGGAAACAUGGAUGGAAGAAGAUCCUAGAGAAGCUAUACUUAAGUAUGCUGAUGUUGCAGCCAAAGACCCAAAGUUCAUUGCUCCAGCGUAUGCUCAAACUCAGCCAGAAUCUGUUUUCGCAAAGUCAGAUUCUGAGGAUGAAGAGAAAUGAUCUGAUUAUGGUUACUUUCUUACUGGCAUGGUUGCAACUUUUGUGCUUUUUUGGCAGCUGCUCUGUAUGAUCUCUAUGUUACCCACGUUAACAUGGACACCUACAGAACUCAUUGAACUGAACUGGCUAUCUGGAAGGAUGGAUACCUUUACCUACUUCCAUGGUGGAUCAUUGCAAAAGUUUAGGCUACUUCAUUGAAGAGCAUAUACCCUCGUUAGUCCUUCAAGGUUGUAGUGGUUAGUUUAGCUGAUAGAAGAACAGAUGUAAAUCCAGUCACAUUCAGAGCUAAAUACUGACCAAGAAUUCAAGUUGAUGUAUAAACUGUUCGAUUAAACUAAUGACAUUUACAAGGAUUUGCAGGUAA